GACGGGCAGGGCCAAGGGAGUACGGGCGGGCCCCGCCAUGGCCGCGGGAACGCUUCCUGCGCUGCUCCGAGGGUCCAGUCCGUCCGCCGCCCGGAAAGGGGGGAAGGGCGAGCAGGAGAAGCGGCGGCCAUGCCCACCGUCUCAACAGACCAGGCCCACAAAGCUAAACGCCCGCCAGCAGCCACCAGGACCCACCGGGAGGAGGCCGCCCUUCCCCCCGGCAGACGGCUGCCAGGGAGGUCCCGCACAGCGGGCCCGGCAGGGCGGCUCCCGCACAGCAGGCGCUCCGACCGAGAUGAAUUUCGAUGAAAUCCCUGCCCUGUCAAGCACAAAGGCACCAGGUGGUAGAGGCUGAGCCAAGUGGAUGAGAUCAAGAAGCCGGAAAAACCCUGGAGUCUCCCACAGGGCACCAUCUCAUCGUUCCUCCAGAAACUCAUCCUUGCCGCAAGCAUCACAGGAGGCUCCACCUCAACCAGCUUCAUCCUUGUCUGUGUUCCAGAUUAUGUGUUGCUUUGGCUCUAGAGCACCUUCCAGUAUUUCUGA